rnacentral:lncRNA from 1 species
GCCCGUCUUCCGAGCGGCGCUGGCCACCACGCCACCCUUGGGUGGCGUUGGCAGCGAGGAACUUCAGGAGCGAUCCCAGCUAGCGCCUACCAGGAAUCUUGGAUGUCUGAUGCUUGUCGGCUGGAUAUUGGAAUUAGAACAACAGAUCGUGAGAACUGUCAAGACCUGGGUAUUGAUUUGGUAGACACAGUGGAAGUUAAGUUGAUGAAGAAUAAGGACAGUGUUGAGUUGGUUGGGAGUCACCAGUGGAUCCAGAAGAGAGUUGUUGGAGGAAAUAAAAGAUAGAGGGCCUGAAGCACUAACAAAGAACAAGUAUCUCAUCUUUUUUUAUGCUUGAUUUCCAAACCUAAAUCUCCUGAGCUCCAAAUCUGAAUUUUCCAUUGGAUGUACCUAACAUCAGAUCUUGAUCUUUCUUGAUUGCAAAGUGAGAUUAUCACAUUGCUAGACUAAGCUUCUCAAGGUCUCUGUAGAUCCUUCAUUGUGCCUUUCAGGUGUUCAGAUUUUGCAAAUCUAAAUGUCAUAAAAACUUUAAAAAGAAGCGCAAUCCUCGCAAAGUUAGGUGGACCAAAGCAUUCCGGAAAGCAGCUGGUAAAGAGCUUACAGUG